rnacentral:tRNA from 1 species
UAUUCUGUGGCUUAGUUGGUUAAAGCGCCGAACUAUCGAUACGCUGUCGUGGGUUUGAAUCCCACCAAAACAA